rnacentral:hammerhead_ribozyme from 1 species
AUCCAGCUGACGAGUCCCACAUAAGACGAAACGCGAGUCCUGGAU